UACGUAGGGGGCAAGCGUUGUCCGGAUUUAUUGGGCGUAAAGAGCGUGUAGGCGGCCUGACAGGUCUGCUGUGAAAACUCGAGGCUCAACCUCGAGAUGUCGGCGGAAACCGUCUGGCUAGAGUCCGGAAGAGGAGAGUGGAAUUCCUGGUGUAGCGGUGAAAUGCGCAGAUAUCAGGAAGAACACCUAUGGCGAAGGCAGCUCUCUGGGACGGUACUGACGCUAAGGCGCGAAAGCGUGGGGAGCGAACAGG
rnacentral:rRNA from 1 species